rnacentral:rRNA from 1 species
UACGAAGGGUGCAAGCGUUGUUCGGAAUUAUUGGGCGUAAAGCGCACGUAGGCGGCUUUGUAAGUCUCACUGUGAAAGUCCGGGGCUCAACCCCGGGAUGCCAGGGGAUACUGCGAGGCUGGAGACAAGCAGAGGUUGGUAGAAUUCCGGGUGUAGCGGUGGAAUGCGUAGAGAUCCGGAGGAAUACCAGAGGCGAAGGCGGCCAACUGGGCUUGUUCUGACGCUGAGGUGCGAAAGCGUGGGGAGCGAACAGG